ACCAAGAUGGCAGAUCAGUGCACUGGGUUUAAGCCCCAGCAACGAGGUCUUUCAAAACCUCUCUUGGUA
rnacentral:tRNA from 1 species